UGAGCGAACUGAAACAAAUUUAACAUCUGAACACCUCUCUGUCUCUCUCCUUCCCUCUCCGCCGUCAGAUUAAGAUUAAACGCGCGUUUGGCCCACAACCGCAAAACGAACACCAGAUCAGAUUAAUCACCGCAAAAUGUGCCGCCGAAAUUGUUUCCCAAAACGCCACCGCCAAAUUUGGCAAAAACGCGCAUUCUCUCCUCCGCGACGCUCUCCCCCAUGUCGUCAUCUCUCCUAAAUACCUGCGAUUUUUUGUCUGUUUUUCCCGCUAAUUUUCUCUUCUAUCUUUGUUUUCUCGUUAAUUUUUCUCUCCUCAGCAUUAAUUUCACUCGGUUGGCAGUCUCAAAUCUCAAUUUCGUUUUUUUUUUUCUUUUUCUUUUUAAAUUUUCGAUUUUUUACAUUAAUUUUGUAUUUGUCUGAUUAGUUUAUAAUUCUUCUCCGGAGAUGUUUUGUUCAGAAAAGAUCGCAGGAAUUCGAUUUUGCUUUCCUUUUUUGGUUUUGAGAGGAUAAAAGGAUCUCUCUGUAUCUGUCUCUCGGUGUUGGACAAGGCUAUGGUUUUCUGGAUUUUUGGUUCUCUGAAUUGAAAUGAUGCAUGGAUUGUGAUAAAGACGGUGUUUCCGAUCCAUAGUUAGGGUUUGAGGUGAUAAUUCUUUCUUUUUCGCCAUAGCAAUUCAUCUGUUGAUGCUCAGAUGAGCUGCUUCGCUUGCAUUGGUCCUCGGAGGGACAUUAGCAAAAUCGAAGACGACACACGCAUUCGUUCUCGUUCCAGUUCCCGCCGUUCCAUUGACUCUUCAGUUGGUGGAAGACGAAAGGCUUACUCUGAUACGAGUGAGCAUAGAAACGGAAAAGAAUCGGUGAAUGGGAAAGGCAAGGACGGUGCUUCAAAAGGCAAUGCGGCAAGAAGCUUCACAUUCCGGGAACUCGCGACUGCGACACGAAAUUUCUGGGAAGGCAACUUGAUCGGUGAAGGUGGUUUCGGAAAAGUUUUCAAAGGCCGUCUCGAUUCCAGCCAGAUUGUGGCAAUCAAACAACUUAAUCUCGACGGUCUUCAGGGGUUUCAGGAAUUUAUUGUGGAAGUCCUGAUGUUAAGCCUCCUGCAUCAUUCUAACCUUGUUACCUUGAUUGGGUACUGCACUGAUGGAAAUCAAAGGCUCCUGGUUUAUGAGUAUAUGCCCAUGGGUAGCUUGGAAGAUCAUCUUUUCUGUGUGGAACCUGACAAAGAGCCACUAAACUGGAGCACACGAAUGAAGAUUGCUGCUGGUGCAGCUCGGGGCCUGGAGUAUCUCCACUGCAAAGCAAAUCCACCUGUUAUUUACCGUGACCUGAAAUCUGCAAAUAUAUUAUUGGACAAUGACUUCAAUCCAAAACUAUCAGACUUUGGACUUGCUAAAUUGGGACCUGUUGGUGAUAAUACUCACGUCUCCACAAGAGUCAUGGGGACAUAUGGAUACUGCGCUCCAGAGUAUGCCAUGAGCGGCCACCUAACUCUUAAAUCUGAUAUUUAUAGCUUUGGUGUAGUUUUGUUGGAGCUGAUCACCGGGCGGAAGGUGUACGACUACAGCAAGAAGCUAGGAGAGCAGAACCUAAUUACUUGGAGUCGCCCGUAUAUGAAAGAUCGAAGAAAGUUUAUGCAGCUGGUUGAUCCCUUGCUUCAAGGGCACUUCCCCGUUCGCAGUCUGCACCAUGCAAUAGCGAUCACCGCAAUGUGUCUUCAGGAGCAGCCAAAUUUUCGCCCUCUUAUCAGCGACAUUGUUGUGGCACUUGAGUACUUGGCCUCUCAAGCCUCUGCCUCAGAGUCCAAGAAGGGUACAGCACUCUGCCCCCCCACAGUGCCAUCGCCUUCCCAUUCACGGCAGGGCAGUGAACCCACAAAACUUUUCACUUCUCUUUGAAUGGUGGGGCAGAGCAGCAUGUAGCUGCGAAUUUGAAGGACAUUUUUAGCAGUAGGAGCUGCUGGCCAGAAGAUCAUGAAAUGCACCGAAAAAUGAAAAAGAGAACAAUGUCUGUCCUGCUGUGAGGCCUUUCGCUUGGUUGUCGAAGACCUCCAUCUCCUCCUCCACCCAACCACCCUUAAAGAAAAAUUUAUGCUGUGUUUGGUGGCAUGAACUUUAGACCUUGUCUUUAGAUUUGGAUAGAUUUGGACAAAUUUUAAUACAAUUUGUAUUCCAUCUUAUCCAAAACCAAUACAAAUCCAAAUCCAAACAUGGGAUUCAUUUGGUUUAUAACAUGUAGAAAAGAAAAUUCUUUGCUUACUAUAUAUUUAUUUAUUUAUUUUUCUUGAUAAUCAAACAAGAAAGUGAAUUUUCUCUC